UUUCAUUUAGGGGCAAUUUCCAUUACCCCUACUAUGUUACGACUUAUCUCAUUUUUCAACGAGAGCGACGGGCGAUGUGUGCACGCCUAAGAGCCAAUUUAAUGAUUCAGAUAAUUUUUGUAAUUUUAGCUUACUUUCAAGUCCUCCUUCAGUAAAAAUUUAAAUUUUCUUUUCGUAUUAUAAGUUUUAAUUGUAACCCAUUCUCUCCUUUUUAUUAGCUGCACCUUGAUCUGACGUAAGAGGUAAGUUCUUUUUUGUUAACUUCUUUGUUCUUAAAAGUUACCUGACGACGACGGUAUACAUACUGAUUGCCAAAAAAGGUAAGGUGUAACGUGGAUUGUCGAUUAUGAAACAGGUUCCCCUGAGGGGUCUAAGGCACCGCCAAGUUCUUUGAGUUUUAAAUAAGUGGUUCGUAGUACUCUGGUAGAAUAAAAUCUAUUUACUUCUAAGAAUAGUGGGGUAUCUAAUCCCAGUUUAUUUCUUAGAUUUCGUGGAUUCAAUCAGUUAAUUGCUUAUUAAAAGUUUGGAAAAUUUUUUGGAAUUUCACCUUUAAAAUAUCUUUAUUAAACUAGUAGACAAUUGAUUUAACCACCUUUUUUACCAAUAGAUAAUAGCUUGGCCUUUAGGGUGUAACCGCGGUUGCUGGCACCCUUUUUACCAGACCUAAAUACUUAACUAAAGCAUGCUUUCACAUAGAUUUAAAUUUCGACACUGGUGUUAAUGAGCCUUUUAAAAUAUCGUUUUUAAUAUAAUAUUUCAAGUAUAGAUUGUAAAUUGCUUUAGCUAAAGGUUAAAGCAACAGUUCUUUACUACCUCAUCACUUUCUAUAAAGACCAUGUGUAAUUUUUCGUUUAUGCUAUUAUUAAAGAUCAGAACCAAGUCUUUUUGACUAAAGUUGGUUGUUUUAUUAUUUUUAUAUUUUUUUUCUUUCCCAUUUAACUCUCUUAAA
rnacentral:rRNA from 1 species